UACGGGGGGGGCAAGCGUUGUUCGGAAUUACUGGGCGUAAAGGGCUCGUAGGCGGCCAACUAAGUCAGACGUGAAAUCCCUCGGCUUAACCGGGGAACUGCGUCGGAUACUGGAUGGCUUGAAUCCGGGAGAGGGAUGCGGAAUUCCAGGUGUAGCGGUGAAAUGCGUAGAUAUCUGGAGGAACACCGGUGGCGAAGGCGGCAUCCUGGACCGGCAUUGACGCUGAGGAGCGAAAGCCAGGGGAGCAAACGGG
rnacentral:rRNA from 1 species